UACAGAGGGUGCAAGCGUUAUCCGGAUUUACUGGGUUUAAAGGGUGUGUAGGCGGACUUUUAAGUCAGCGGUGAAAUCUCCGGGCUCAACCCGGAAACUGCCAUUGAUACUAUUGGUCUUGAAUGUUGUUGAGGUGGGCGGAACGGGUCAUGUAGCGGUGAAAUGCAUAGAUAUGACCCGGAACACCGAUUGCGAAGGCAGCCCACUAAGCAACGAUUGACGCUGAGGCACGAAAGCGUGGGGAUCAAACAGG
rnacentral:rRNA from 1 species